UACAGAGGGUGCAAGCGUUAAUCGGAUUUACUGGGCGUAAAGCGUGUGUAGGUGGCUUCCUAAGUCGGUUGUGAAAUCCCUGGGCUCAACCCAGGAACUGCGUCCGAUACUGGUUGGCUUGGAUCCGGGAGAGGGAUGUGGAAUUCCAGGUGUAGCGGUGAAAUGCGUAGAUAUCUGGAGGAACACCGGUGGCGAAGGCGACAUCCUGGACCGGUAUUGACGCUGAGGCGCGAAAGCCAGGGGAGCAAACGGG
rnacentral:rRNA from 1 species